rnacentral:rRNA from 1 species
GACGAACGCUGGCGGCGUGCUUAACACAUGCAAGUCGAACGGAAAGGCCCCUUUGGGGGUACUCGAGUGGCGAACGGGUGCGUAACACGUGAGUAACCUGCCCUUGACUUCGGGAUAACUUCAGGAAACUGGGGCUAAUACCGGUUAGGAAUCCUUGCUGCAUGGUGGGGGUUGGAAAGCUUCGGCGGUUUUGGAUGGACUCGAGGCUUAUCAGCUUGUUGGUGGGGUAGUGGCUUACCAAGGCUUUGACGGGUAGCCGGCCUGGGAGGGCGACCGGCCACAUUGGGACUGAGAUAAGGCCGAGACGCCUAAGGGAGGCAGCAGUGGGGAAGAUUGAACAAUGGGCGGAAGCCGGAUGCAGCAACGCCGCGUGCGGGAUGACGGCCUUCGGGUUGUAAAACGCUUUCAGCAGGGGCGAAGCUUGUGGUGACGGUACCUGAAGAAGAAGCACCGGCUAACUACGUG